rnacentral:rRNA from 1 species
UAGAGUUUGAUCCUGGCUCAGGAUGAACGCUAGCUACAGGCUUAACACACGCAAGUCGAGGGGCAGCAUGGUCUUAGCUUGCUAAGGCCGAUGGCGACCGGCGCACGGGUGAGUAACACGUAUCCAACCUGCCUUAUACUCCCGGACAGCCUUCUGAAAGGAAGAUUAAUACGGGAUGGCAUCACGAGCCAGCAUUUUCUCGUGAUUAAAGAAUUUCGGUAUAAGAUGGGGAUGCGUUCCAUUAGAUAGUAGGCGGGGUAACGGCCCACCUAGUCGACGAUGGAUAGGGGUUCUGAGAGGAAGGUCCCCCACAUUGGAACUGAGACACGGUCCAAACUCCUACGGGAGGCAGCAGUGAGGAAUAUUGGUCAAUGGGCGCGAGCCUGAACCAGCCAAGUAGCGUGAAGGAUGACUGCCCUACGGGUUGUAAACUUCUUUUAUAAAGGAAUAAAGUGAGGCACGUGUGCCUUUUUGUAUGUACUUUAUGAAUAAGGAUCGGCUAACUCCGUGCCAGCAGCCGCGGUAAUACGGAGGAUCCGAGCGUUAUCCGGAUUUAUUGGGUUUAAAGGGAGCGUAGAUGGGUUGUUAAGUCAGUUGUGAAAGUUUGCGGCUCAACCGUAAAAUUGCAAUUGAUACUGGCAGCCUUGAGUACAGUUGAGGUAGGCGGAAUUCGUGGCGUAGCGGUGAAAUGCUUAGAUAUCACGAAGAACUCCGAUUGCGAAGGCAGCCUACUAAACUGCCACUGACAUUGAUGCUCGAAAGUGUGGGUAUCAAACAGGAUUAGAUACCCUGGUAGUCCACACGGUAAACGAUGAAUACUCGCUGUUUGCGAUAUACAGCAAGCGGCCAAGCGAGAGGGAUAAGUUCAUCCACCUGGGGAGUACGACCGCAAGGUUGAAACUCAAAGGAAUUGACGGGGGCCCGCACAAGCGGAGGAACAUGUGGUUUAAUUCGAUGAUACGCGAGGAACCUUACCCGGGCUCGAACGGCAGGUGAACGACACAGAGAUGUGAAGGUCCUACGGGACGCCUGUCGAGGUGCUGCAUGGUUGUCGUCAGCUCGUGCCGUGAGGUGUCGGCUUAAGUGCCAUAACGAGCGCAACCCUUGCCGUCAGUUACCAUCAGGCAAAGCUGGGGACUCUGGCGGGACUGCCACCGCAAGGUGUGAGGAAGGGGGGGACGACGUCAAAUCAGCACGGCCCUUACGUCCGGGGCGACACACGUGUUACAAUGGUGGGUACAGAGGGGUGCUACCUGGUGACAGGAUGCUGAACUCGAAAGCCCAUCUCAGUUCGGAUCGGAGUCUGCAACCCGACUCCGUGAAGCUGGAUUCGCUAGUAAUCGCGCAUCAGCCAUGGCGCGGUGAAUACGUUCCCGGGCCUUGCACUCACCGCCCGUCA